UACAGAGGGUGCGAGCGUUAAUCGGAAUUACUGGGCGUAAAGGGCGCGUAGGUGGAUACAUAAGUCAGGUGUGAAAGACCUGGGCUUAACCUGGGGGAGUCAUUUGAGACUGUGUAUCUAGAGUAGAGUAGAGGGGAGUGGAAUUUCCGGUGUAGCGGUGAAAUGCGUAGAUAUCGGAAAGAACACCGGUGGCGAAGGCGGCUCCCUGGGCUCAUACUGACACUGAGGCGCGAAAGCGUGGGUAGCGAACAGGAUUAGAUACCCUGGUAGUCCACGCUGUAAACGAUGAGAACUAGCUGUUGGGAGGCAUAGCCUUUCGGUAGCGUAGCUAACGCGAUAAGUUCUCCGCCUGGGGAGUACGGCCGCAAGGUUAAA
rnacentral:rRNA from 1 species